UCGAUCAAAUCGAUCUUUUUG
rnacentral:piRNA from 1 species